GAUGAACGCUGGCGGCGUGCCUAAUACAUGCAAGUCGAGCGAAGCGGGGACGGGUGAGUAACACGUGGAUAACCUCCUAUAAGACUGGGAUAACUUCGGGAAUCCGGAGCUAAAUCAGAUACUUAUAGAUGGAUCCGUGCUGCAUUAGCUAGUUGGUACGGUAACGGCGUACCAAGGCAACGCUGCAUAGCCGACCUGAGAGGGUGAUCGUCCACACGGGAACGGAGACACUGUCCAGACGCCUACGGUAGGCCGCCGGCGGGAAUCUUCCGCAAUGGGCGAAUGCCUGACGGAGCAACGCCGCGAUAGUGAUUGAGGUCUUCGGAUCGUAAAACUCUGUUAUUAGGGAAGCGGUACCUAAUCAGAAAGCCACGGCUAACUACGUGCCAGCAGCCGCGGUAAUAC
rnacentral:rRNA from 1 species